rnacentral:lncRNA from 1 species
CCUUCAGACAUCAUCGCCACCCUAGCCCCUACCUUCCCCAUCAUCAUCAUCAUCAUCAUCAUCAUCAUCAACAGGCAACACCACUAGUACUACCACCGACCUCACUACAAUACCACUAAUACUAAUAACAACAACAGCAACAACAACGCCACCACCACCAUAUCGAGGAACGACUGUACUAUCAAUAAGAACUACGGCAAUCACCAUGACCACUACCUCUGACAAUAUCAUAAGUAUUAUUUCCCUCAUCACUGCCUUUACAACCAUCUGAAAUAUAACCAGCACCACCACCGCUUCAACCACCACCCAUACUUCAUUAGAACCAUAACUACCACCCUCGCCUCCACCACUAUCACCAGCUCCAAAUCCGCCACCACCACCACCACCAUCACCAUCUCUAUCGCCACCACCUUCACCUCAUAACGAACACUAACUCUAUGUGGUCGCUCGACCUUCUGGAAAUAGCAGUCAAAUCAAUCACUCACAAAUUAAAAUCUAAGCGAAGAGCAGCAUAUUGAAUAAUACAUUCUUGGUGGAUCACACCUAAGUGUUUCAUGGGAUGGUCACAUCUGGAGGGCUUGGACUGAAUUGUGCUAAUAACAAUAUUUCAACCCAAAAUAAGAGUUGCAACGCAUCUCACACAGUAAUAUCUUUGCGUAUAUCAUGUGUGUGUGUAUGCAUGUGUGUGUGUGUGUUGGUGUGUAUAUGCUUGAAUGUAUAUUUGUAUAUGAGUAUGUGUAUGUUUGUAUAAGUGUGUGUAUGCAUGUUGUAUAUUAUAUAAGUAUACGAAUGAAAGAUGUACUUGAAUAUGUAUGCGUUUGACGCGCACACACACACGCAUAAUAUAUAUGUAUGUGUGUGUGUGUGUGUGUAUACAUACGCAGACAUACAUACGUACACACGCAUACUUGUAUAUAAACAUAAGUAUAUACCACUCGUACGGAGAGAGACUAGCUUCUGUUACAUAGAUAGUCAUGAAUACACACAUACACACAUACAAACACACACUUCUAUCUAUACUUUAACAAAUCGGAUACCCGUGUACAUAUUUAUCUUUUAAUGAAUACAAACAUCCACACACACAAACAUAUAUAUAUAUAUACAUAUAUAUAUAUAUAUAUGUGUGUAUGUAUGUACACACACACACACACACACAUAUAUAUAUAAAAUAUAUAUAUAUAUAUAUAUAUAUGUAUACACAUAUGUACAUAUAUAUAUACAUAUAUGUUUGUACAUAUAUAUGUAUACAUAUACGUACAUAUAUAUCAAUGCACAUGUAUACACAUUUAUAUAUUUACAUAUGUAUAUAUAUGUGUGUGUAUAGAAGUGUGUGUGUGUAUAUGAAUGUGUGUGUAUAUGUAUGUGUGUAUGUGUGUAUGUAUGUAUGUAUGUAUGUAUGUAUGUAUGUAUGUAUGUAUGUAUGUAUGUAUGUAUGUAUGUAUGUAUGUAUGCUGCCAUAUGUGUUAAGUACACAGGUUCUUGUUUUCCACAUAGCAUAAUACAAUACUGAAAUAAGUUCUUGCUCGCGACAUCUGCUUCUUGGGCGUGUUUUGUUUAGGGAAUCGAAUGGCGGCAUCGAGAGCGCAGUGGACAAAAUGGUUAUCGAUUUUGCUUUCGUUCCCGCUCUGAGUUCAAAUCUCAGUAAAGAUUUCGGUUUCAGUCAAAUACCUAAAACUCUUGUUGUCAACUCAUCGAUUCCCAUUUUAUUUUCUCUACAAUAAAAUUUAGAAAGUCUUGUGAACGUAGCAAAAUACAGAUAUGACCAUUAUUGCGUCGGACCAAAUGUUCCGAGGUAUUUCUUCCGGUUUUACAUUCCGGGUUCAAAAUCCGCCAAAGUCGACUUUGCCUUUCAUCUCAUCGGGGUCGAUAAAAUGAAUACCAGUUUAUCACUGGGGUCGAUAUAAUCAACAUAAAACCCUCCCACCGAAGCAGCUGGUGCUGAGCUAAAAAUCGAAACCAUUUAUUAUUAUUAUUAUUAUUAUUAUUAUUAUUAUUAUUAUUAUUAUUAUUAUUAUUAUUAUUAUAAUAAACGAUGUUAGCCUGGGUGAGAGAUUUUGAAUGGCGACUGUGUAUAAGUUAUAAGUUACUCUGGGAGACUUUUAAGUGACAGAUUAUUAUUUUUAAAAAACACUCCAUACGCUGGUCUGAAGGUGUUGUAAUGGAGUGGUUGCGGAGGUAACGGUGGAGCGACUUUGCUUAUUUACGAUAAAUUCAGCUUGCGUGCCUGAAGCCAAAAUGGAGCUGCCAGCAACUGAACCUGUUCGUAUGAGCAAACGAUGACGACCCGUCCGGCGCUACGCGCCCGUUCAGAGUCCGUUUAAUGAUUUAUAUUGCGGUACAGGACCGAACGGAUCCGGUUAUUUGUUGGUUUUAUCGUGAAGACAAAUCACUGCUUUCCUUUGGCAAGGAAGCGUGGAUAGCGUUAUUCUAACUUGUGGUUAUGCUGAAGGAAGUUGUGUAGUGGACGAGGUUAAAAGCUUUCAGGAUAAAGCAUUUCCUGUCAGGAAGCCAAACCCACAUCCGAUUCUUCAAGAAUCAGUUGAGAAGGAAGUUGAAGAUAGUAAGAAGGACACUGGACCCAGCAAAAUUUUUGUGUUUUGGGUGAAAGGGACGAAAUUGGCAUGGCUAAACAGGUCCGUGAUAAUUCUACGGUUGUAGAAUUGAGGCAAAAACUGGGAGAAAGCAUCGACUUUUGUUGUACCAAAGUGGGGAAUGGAGGGUUCAAACAGACCCCUUUGGUCCUUCGUUAUUGUCUUAUACAUUUAUACUGUUGUAGCUACAUAGAUUUUUUUUAUUAUUAUUGUUUCUUAAUAUAUCUCUGUGGGUCGCUCCUUAUUUGACGGAAAUUCGCCACUGCUUUCCUUUUUCUUCUUUGUUCCCUUUUUUUUUUUUUUUGUAUUUUCCUCUUAUACUGUCCCCAGUGUGGGGGUCUCAAAUCCUUGGCGCGUCAGACAAAAUGCUUAUCUGCAUUUUUAUCGAGCUCUUCGUUCCAUGUUCAAAUCCUGCCGAGGUCAACUUUGCUUUUCAUCCAUCGCGAUCGAUAAAAUAAGUAGCAGUCAAGUACUAGGGGCGAUGAAAUCGACUUAAUCCCUCCUCUCCCUUCAAAAAUGCUGGCCUUGUACCAAAAAUUAGAAAGUGUCAUUAUGAUUGUUGUUGUUGUUGUUGUUAUUUUAUUGUUGCCAUCAUUAUCCUCAUCUUCAUCAUCACCAUCAUCAUCAAUAUCAUAAUCAUUUGUAUUUUAGCGCGAAUGGGCUUGUCCCUUUCGCCCCCUUUGUGUUAAUGGAUUUACCACGCCACGUUUAUAACUCAAUGGAAAAUCUUUGGAUUAAUUUCCCGACGUUGGAACGUUUUAGUUUCCACCCUGCUUACCUUGGGGUGAAAAGGACACGGUUUGUUUUUAAACCUUUUUUGUAUUUCCUAUUCUAUAAACUUUAUUUACUACAAACACGAACUGACUUCGUUUCAUGGAUGAAUUCGCUACAGCAGUUGCGACAUUGAUGCAAACUGGCACAUCCCGCCACAAGAUGCAAAUAAAUAAAUAAUUAAAUAAAUAAAAACAAUAAAUUUUAAAAACAUGUUCAAAAAAGAUAACCAACAAAACAAGAAAAUAAAGCAACCACUAAACAAACAGAUACAGCAAACAUUACAAACAAAUAAGUAAUGAAUUUGUGAAAAAAAAAAAAUAAUAAUAAAAUGAGUUUUCUUAUGGAGUAACCCAUACACAAUGUUUGGACAUUCGUCAAGUCGAAGAAAAUAAGUGAUAUGGGAGAUGUGUGUUAUUUAGGACAGUGUUGCUUGAAGAACGCAUACAGAAA